GAUGAACGCUGGCGGCGUGCCUAAUACAUGCAAGUCGAGCGAACCACUUCGGUGGUGAGCGGCGAACGGGUGAGUAACACGUAGGUGAUCUGCCCAUCAGACGGGGACAACGAUUGGAAACGAUCGCUAAUACCGGAUAGGACGAAAGUUUAAAGGUGCUUCUGGCACCGCUGAUGGAUGAGCCUGCGGCGCAUUAGCUAGUUGGUAGGGUAAAGGCCUACCAAGGCGACGAUGCGUAGCCGACCUGAGAGGGUGAACGGCCACACUGGGACU
rnacentral:rRNA from 1 species